UAAUACGAACCGUCCAAACGUUAUUCGGAUUCAUUGGGCUUAAAGGGUACGUAGGCGGCGCUAUCAGUCGGGUGUGAAAGCCCUCGGCUCAACCGAGGAACUGCGCCCGAUACUGUAGUGCUUGAGGGAGACAGAGGUAAGCGGAACUGAUGGUGGAGCGGUGAAAUGCGUUGAUAUCAUCAGGAACACCGGUGGCGAAAGCGGCUUACUGGGUCUCUUCUGACGCUGAGGUACGAAAGCUAGGGGAGCGAACGGGAUUAGAUACCCCGGUAGUCCUAGCUAUAAACGUUGAGCACUUGACCGUGGGGCCCCCCAUAGCCUCUCGGUCGUAGCGAAAGUGAUAAGUGCUCCGCCUGGGGAGUAUGGUCGCAAGGCUG
rnacentral:rRNA from 1 species